UACGUAGGGCGCAAGCGUUAUCCGGAAUUAUUGGGCGUAAAGAGCUCGUAGGCGGUUUGUCGCGUCUGCCGUGAAAGUCCGGGGCUCAACUCCGGAUCUGCGGUGGGUACGGGCAGACUAGAGUGAUGUAGGGGAGACUGGAAUUCCUGGUGUAGCGGUGAAAUGCGCAGAUAUCAGGAGGAACACCGAUGGCGAAGGCAGGUCUCUGGGCAUUAACUGACGCUGAUGCGCGAAAGCUAGGGGAGCAAACAGG
rnacentral:rRNA from 1 species